CAAAUUAUUUUCAAAGUUACAGCCGUUUUAGUGUCGGUGCUGGUAAAUUGACUGAUAAAGUAAUCACUCAGUUGUCUGCGUACUACGGAUUAGCUAUCCGUCGUCAUCCUGAAUCCGUUGAAGAUAUGAAACGAGAAAUAUGGACCACGUACUUGCAUAAAAUUUCAACUGAUAAGAAGCCUCAGCACAUGAAUUGCCCUCCUGGACCAGACAGCUGGUGCAAGUGGCAGAAAGCAGCGGUCGAAGGAACUGAGGAUGACUUUCACCAUGAAAAUCCACCUCUAACUGAUAAGGUUUUAAAAGUUAUGAAACCUAUUUACGAAUGCUUAUCAGAUGAUUCUUUAUUAGAACGUUGCUUGGGCAGCGAAACUCAAAAUAACAACGAGUCACUUAACUCUUUAAUAUAGACAUUUGCACCCAAACAUAUCCAUGCCGGGUCCCAGACAAUUGAGAUUGCUAAUUGUUUAGCAGUUUGCAUUUUCAAUGAAGGAUUUUAUCCUAUUUUACAAAUAAUGAGUCUAAUGGGAAUAAAAAUAGGUCUGGAAUCCCAUGGGUUUGCUGUUAGGCGCAACGCAGUAAGGAUUGAACGGUCUGAGGUUCGAGCUUCAGAUGCUUCAAAAGAGGAAAGAACUGCUCGUUAUACAGAGAAAAAUGCUGAAAACAGUCAAUAUGAAGUAGAGGAAGGCCCAAUAUAUGAAGCUGGGAUGGCUGAUUAAGAGAAUAUGGAUACAAAGGGAGAAAUCCUUUUCACGAGGACACGGCCUUUUUUUUUCUCUAC
rnacentral:lncRNA from 1 species